GAUGAAGAACGUAGCGAAAUGCGAUAAGUAAUGUGAAUUGCAGAAUUCAGUGAAUCAUCGAAUCUUUGAACGCACAUUGCGCCCGCUAGUAUUCUGGCGGGCAUGCCUGUCCGAGCGUCAUUUCAACCCUCAAGCCCCCGGGCUUGGUGUUGGGGAUCGGCGAGCCUCCGCGCCCGCCGUCCCCUAAAUCUAGUGGCGGUCUCGCUGUAGCUUCCUCUGCGUAGUAGCACACCUCGCACUGGGAAACAGCGCGGCCACGCCGUUAAACCCCCAACUUCUGAAAGUUUGACCUCGGAUCAGGUAGGAAUACCCGCUGAACUUAAGCAUAUCAAUAAGCGGAGGA
rnacentral:misc_RNA from 1 species